GAAAUAGUGGAGAGAGAGAGAGAGAAACACGAGCUAGCCACCACCGCCCACCUUUUUCAGUCGCCGGCGCCGAUUCCAGCCACAAUUCUUACACCAUUCUCUUCCUCUCUUCAUGGGCUUUCUAUUGAUAUAUGUUUCAAGACCUAUCAUCAAGUGUGCGCGACGAAUCGAGGGAGAGAAGAUUGAGUGAUUUUCCGGCUAUUUUUCAAAUUCCGACCAAACCGUCGACAUUUGGAGAAACCCCAAGGUAAUCCGGUUGAGCAAGCUUCCGAGGACAUUCCCGAAAUGGGACUCACCUAGUCACCCUUCAUUGUGGUAGAUUUUGCUCAUGAGGUCGGACCGCACCACGUUGAGACAUUCUCCUUAUCCACCUUCAUCCAUCUUGACUUGUAGGAUUUGUUCUCUUUCGUACUCUUACAUUUCUUACUUAAUUGGACCGUGUAACUUAUGAUCUGAUGUAACCAUAAAUUGAGUAUUGGAUUCCUAAGUAGUAAUUGUUGGGCUAGAACCCUCGUAUUUGGUUGGUGGUGGAUGUUUUUGUGAAGGACAGGAUGUCCUAUUUGGAAGUUAUUGGAUAUUUAUGAUAUUAGAAGUAUAUUAUUGGA